rnacentral:tRNA from 1 species
GCCGCACUAGAGAAAUGGUUAACUCGUCGGCCUCCUACUGCUUAAGGAUGAAAAUAAGCCGAAGAUUCCCGGUUCGAGUCCGGGGUGUGGUG